GGCCUGAGUUGGAAAGAGGCCGAGGGGCGGGGCUCCGGGAAAAUGAAGGGGCAGAUUUUCGGUGGGCAGGGCUUGCCAGCGAGACUGAGCGAGUUGGGGACACACAGUUCACGAGUAAUUCAGCUCAAAUAUUCCUUCAUCUCAUUUCUCUUGAAUGGAGGAUGGCACAAACCUAUGGAUGCUCCUCCUCUGGUACUGAAGAAACACAACUGACUUUUGGAAGAAACUGAGAAGUAAGAAGAGAGAAACAAGACUUGUUGCCUUCAGCAUCCCUGGGUUCUCUCUCCAGAUGCUUUACAGACAGACUUUAUAAACUUUGGAUGGUCAAUUCCUUUUUAUGACAACCAAAGAGGGAGAUGUUGUCUGUAAAAUGCCUAUAAUAUAUUCUGAAUUCCACUGAAAAUGAGAAAGCAAAUUAUAAUCAAUAUACAUUGAA